rnacentral:rRNA from 1 species
AUGCCGCCCACCCCCACCACCCCAGCAGCUACCGGCGCCGAAACCGCGGUGACGCCGGACCAUGCGCGUCCACGCCGAAUGGUCCGCUUCAACCCGGGCAGCGACCGCUUCCACACGCUCGCCUUCCACCACAUCGAGUUCUGGUGCACCGACGCAGCCUCGGCCGACGGCCGCUUCGCCUUCUCGCUCGGCGCGCCGCUCGCCGCCAGGUCCGACCUAUCCACGGGGAACUCCACGCACGCCUCCCAGCUGCUCCGCCCAGGAUCCCUCGCAUUCCUGUUCACCGCGCCCUAUGCCAACGGCUGCAUCUUCUCGGUCGACGCCGCGCGCCGGUUCUUCGCUGAUCACGGGCUCGCAGUGCGCUCCGUAGCACUGCGCGUCGCAGACGCCGCCAAGGCCUUCCGCGCCAGCGUCGACGGAGGCGCGCGCCCGGCCUUCGCCCCCGUGGACCUCGGCCGCGGCUUCGGAUUUGCGGAGGUCAAGCUCUACGGCGACGUCGUGCUGCGCUUCGUCAGUCACCCGGAUGGCACGGACGUGCCCUUCUUGCCAGGGUUAUUUGAGGGCGUGAGCAACCCGGGUGCCGUGCACUACGGCCUGACGCGGUUCGACCACAUCGUCGGCAACGUCCCAGAGCUAGCCCCCGCUGCCGCCUACGUUGCCGGCUUGACGGGCUUCCACGAAUUCGCCGAGUUCACCACUGAGGACGUCGGCACGGCCCAGAGCGGGCUCAACUCGGUAGUGCUGGGCUGCUGGCCAACACCUCGGAGGGCGUGCCGCUGCUGCUCAAUGAACCGGUUCACGGCACCAAGCGCCGGAGGCAGAUACAGACGUUCCUGGAACACCACGGUGGCCCGGGCGUGCAGCACAUCGCGGUGGCCAGCAGCGAGGUGUUCAGGACGCUCAGGGAGAUGCAUGCGCGCUCUUCCAUGGGCGGCUUUGACUUCCUGCCACCGCCGCUGCCCAAGUACUAUGAAGGCGUGCGACGCCUCGCCGGGGAUGUGCUCUCGGAGGCGCAGAUCAAGGAAUGCCAGGAGCUGGGGGUGCUCGGCUCGUCAACAGGGACGACCAAGGGGUGUUGCUCCAAAUCUUCACCAAGCCAGUGGGGGACAGGCCAACGUUUUUCCUGGAGAUGAUCCAAAGAAUCGGGUGCAUGGAGAAGGACGAGAGAGGGGAAGAGUACCAGAAGGGUGGCUGCGGCGGUUUCGGCAAGGGCAACAUCUCCGAGCUGUUCAAGUCCAUUGA